AGGUGCUUUACAAUGCUGCGCGAAUAGUGUUUGGGCUGCGGCGCACUUCCUUCACGUCAGCGUCUCGAGUGACGUCUUUGUUUCACCAUUCACGCUUUCGACGACUGUCGACGACGAUAUAGACCAACACCAUCACUGACUUCAUCAAUCGGCGAAAGAAGUGAAGACCAUGUAUUCUGACGAGAAACGUACACUCUGCACCAAUAUGAAAGGAAACACCUAAUCUGUGUUCGAACAUGCAGCGAUUUCUGCAAACAUGCACUACUUGGCCACAGGUGCACGCAAUACAAGGCCGACGCGGCGCCUAAAUGAAGCUGCGGGCGCCAUUCGACCAAGUGACCAUCGACGUCAUCAUACGUCUGGCUAUUUGGAAAAGCGACCAUGAACCUGCGUAUUAUAGUGGCCGCUGGCUUGCGUGUUCAAGCAUUGAAACAUAAUUUCGUUCAUUAUACUUUGUAAGAAAUAACUGCAAAUCUCGACAGAUGUUCGAAGCCAAGGGACUUCUAGGAUCAUGCUCAGAAAAACAGGAAACAGAUGUGAUAUCAUUUGAUUCAUAAAUUGACUAAAUUUAUGUAUGUUUGAUUGUUUUGAUUUAUAUUUAGGCAUUCAUUACUGUGCACAAAGUUUAUUUUUGUUCUCCUCUAUUCACUUAAUGUAUAUUGAUUAAACGUUCACCAAUGCCUACGCCUUCCGCAUAGGAGUACUGACCACUGCGCUGAAGAGGAAACUGUCAGUGACAUUCUGAGCCAGUGUCCGCAGUAUUGUGUACAAAGACGCUUACUUGCCGCUGUGCUCAACAAGUUUGACGACCGACAGCUGUCUAAUACUACAACACAGACGUGACUCGGUAUCCCAUCAGAAGACCGUGAAAGCAUUAUUGGGCUUUUUGCGAUGCACCUUACUUAGUGAACGCCUAAAGUAGUAGUAUUGUUUUUGUUUUCUCUCUCCUCCUUUCUAACACCCCUUUUCCCCGACCAGCGUGCGAGGGUAGCAAACCGGGCACUUGAGUUAGAUUAAAUUCACUGCCUUUCCUCUCUCUCUCUACAGAUCCCUUGAUUAA